rnacentral:lncRNA from 1 species
AUGGCGGUUAUCACUGGUAAGGGGACACCUGGUUCUGGAGGACAACAUGGUGAAAAAGGAGAGAAGGGUGACCAAGGAAGAGUUUCAAUAAAAGGAAUAAAAGGUGAAAGAGGUCCUACUGGGGUUCCAGGAUUUCCAGGCCAAAAAGGUAAUGAUGGCAGAGAUGGGGAUUUAGGAUUGCCUGGGGAAAAAGGAGCUGAGGGUGAAUCUGGAGUACCAAUACCAGGUGAUAAAGGAUUUCCUGGAGUUCCAGGACUACCCGGAGUAAAAGGACCGAUGGGAUUGCCUGGUUUGGGGUUUCCUGGCCCUCCAGGAGUCAGAGGUACCCCUGGAGACUUUGGUGAUGAUGGUAACAUUGGGCUGCCUGGUCCGAAGGGUCAGAAAGGUAAUUUUAAAUAUUUACAUUAAGAACUAAAUAACAAAAUACAUGUUUAGUACCAUCCUUUACAGUUUCAAAUGCAUUAUAUAUAGUGUUAGUCAUUUACAGCUAAAUCAGUUUUGGCAAGCUCAGUGGUCACAUACUGUCAGCACUUAGCAGCAAGUACUGGUGAGAAUAUGAAUCUCAAGGGACUUUGAGCCUGGAGUGUGCUACUUGUGCACUACCAGAGGAAUUAUUUUCUGGAGUGAAGAACAUGCCUAUCUAUAAGGAUUUACAGGGCCAUGCUUUUUGCUAAAGGAAUAGGAAAAGACAACUCAUGCUUAAGACAUACUCUUUCUGUUUGUUUAUUCCCCACCAAAGAAAAAAAAAAAUCUUCACUGAUAUCAAUAUAUA